rnacentral:rRNA from 1 species
UAUUCACAAACGAGUGUUUUAUGGCACUCUUUAAAAAUCCAUAUCCACCUUGUGUGCAAUGUUUGUUGGGAAAGUCCUUUCUUUCCCUUCAUAAAUAUCAACCUAUAUCUUUAACAACAUUCGUCUGAUAACAUAUUAUGAAUAUACUUAAUUCAAAAUAUAACUUUCAACAACGGAUCUCUUGGCUCUCGCAUCGAUGAAGAACGCAGCGAAAUGCGAUACGUAACGUGAAUUGCAGAAUUCAGUGAAUCAUCGAAUCUUUGAACGCAUAUUGCGCUCUUUGGUAUUCCGAAGAGCAUGCUUGUUUGAGUAUCAGUAAACACCUCAUAGCUUUUGGAUUUUUUUUGAAAGCUUUGGUCUUGAGCAAUCCCAACACCAAUCUUUUUUUAAGAUCGGUGGCGGGUUGCUUGAAAUGCAGGUGCAGCUGGACAUUCUCCUGAGCUAAAAGCAUAUUCAUUUAGUCCCGUCAAACGGAUUAUUACUUUUGCUACAGCUAACAUAAAGGGAGUUUGACCGUAUUGGCUGACUGAUGCAGGAUUUCACAAGGGUCGGCAACGAUUCUUGUUAAACUCGAUCUCAAAUCAAGUAAGACUACCCGCUGAACUUAAGCAUAUC